UAAGUUAAUUAAACUAAUGGAUUCAUGCUCCAUUCAUGGAAGGACUAAUCCUCCUCUUUAAA
rnacentral:tRNA from 1 species